rnacentral:rRNA from 1 species
UACGUGAGGGUGCAAGCGUUGUCCGGAAUUAUUGGGCGUAAAGAGCUCGUAGGCGGUCUGUUACGUCUGCUGUGAAAACCCGGGGCUUAACCCUGGGCUUGCAGUGGAUACGGGCAGACUAGAGGCAGGUAGGGGAGAAUGGAAUUCCCGGUGUAGCGGUGAAAUGCGCAGAUAUCGGGAGGAACACCGGUGGCGAAGGCGGUUCUCUGGGCCUGACCUGACGCUGAGGAGCGAAAGCGUGGGGAGCGAACAGG